GGCUCGGUGGUGUAGUGGUUAGCGCUGCCACCUCACAGUAAGAAGGUUGUGGGUUUGAAUCCAGCCUGGGGCU